rnacentral:tRNA from 1 species
GCAGUGAUGGGUCAGUGGUAGAAUUCUUGCCUUCCACGCAAGGGACCUGGAUUUGAUUCCCGGCCAGUGUA